rnacentral:lncRNA from 1 species
AUGAACUUCGCAUGCUAUUGAAAAUCAAGAAAAUUACACAACUAUAUACAUACACUUCAUGUGCUGUGUGCACGACCAACACAUUAGCAAGCUUAGUGCCAACAUAUACAUAAGUAGCAGCACACUAAUAUUACAUUGUUUUUGUUCUGAUCAUUCAGAAUGUUGUAUCUUCCAAGAGGAUGGAGAAUGAUAAAUCUACAGGAAGACCAUAUGUAGAAAAGCAACAUCAUAAUCUUUAACCAUGGACAACAGCAAGUUCAAACACAAAACCAAGGACUAUAAUAGCUAAACUCUCAUAGAAAUCUCUCUCUAGCAUUCUAGUUGAACUUCAACAGUAGCGCACCAACAUUAGCUAGAGGGCGAGGCAGGCCGCAGCAACAGCUGCUAACAGCGACCAGCAAAUGGAGGCUGGGUCGUGACGGCGGCACCGAGAUGGAGGAGGUGCCAGGGCAUGGCAGGCAAAAAUAACUGUGAUUGAAUAGUCUCAAUCAGGUAGGUAGGCGUUACAAGAAAAGAAAUAGCAAGUACAUCAAGUUUCAGUGCCUCUUUCACACACAGAUGUACAACAAAAUUGGCAUACCUUCUUAUAUAGAUGAACUUGAACCCCUAAAAACUUGUGAGAUAUGAACAUCUUUCGAAAGCCAUCGACCGCCUCAAAAAAAUCCCUGGAAUCCUCUGACAUCGUGCAUCAAACUUGGUCUUCAGUCUCAAUAAUAUUAUUUCAGAAUCCUUUUUUCAAUCGCCAUCAACAUGGUUGUCAUUGCAGGCAAACUAUCAACUUUACGAUUCUAAAAGUACUAGCUUUUGGCAAAAUGUGUACAAGCUACUCAAGAAAUUGAAGAUAGUUGCAAACAACAUACGAGCUACAGCCUAGCGAUUUUUGCAAGUACGUGAGUGAAGACUUGUGAUUGUUCUGAUUCUGAACUUCACAUUUUUCUGAUUCUGAACUUGUGAUUGUUCUUUUUUCGCAGGGUGCAGUGCAACUGCCGGUGUUGGGAGGCUGGCUUCGCUCCAUCAGGUAGCUUCGUCCACCGCCGCACAGGACGGCGAGGAGGGGAUGAAGGAAAGACAGACCUGGCAGCAAGCGGGGGAGGAGCCGGAGCAGCGCCAUGUCGGGGAUGCAUGGUGUCAGCAGCUAUGUUUUUUAUAAAACCUAAAUCACUUCACAGAACAUAGUUAAAUAUUUUAACAUCACAAAAAGCUAUGUUUUUUUAUACAAGAAGUUGUUUUUCUAGGUAGUAGCACGUGCUUGCGUUGCACACGUUCCUCUACCACACACAUAUUUAUCCUCUCACGUGCUUCCAUUCUCCCCCUGUUUAACUCUGAACUCGUGUUGCACUACCAAAAGCUAACAGCAAAUGCAAUCCUAAUUAACAUACGAUGCAGAGCAUCAUCUCCGGUCAAAGCGAGGAAGCCUUAAUUGACAAAAUUGCAAAAAAUUUGUACUUCCGGCCUUGGGUGUGCUGGGCAGCGGCGGUGCGCUUUUCUUGUUGUUGAAUCCACGAGUGAUCCAACUAACACAAAGUCAAGUUGAACUCCAUGUUUUUUUUAGAGGGAAACCUUGUGUUCAGCAGCCAUGUCCUUGUCGUUUCAAUCGUAUGAACUUCAUAGGAAUUGGGAAUGAAACUCGUGGCUGGUGUUACCUUCUUUUUGCUAGCCAUCUGAUUGAGGAAAGAGAGCACCCGCUGGUUGCCGAGAGAGCCUGGAUCGCGCCAGGAUCUGUUCCAUUCAUGAACACAAACAUAUGAGCUGAGACCACGAGAGAAGCUAAAAGUACACAACUCGAACACCGGUCAUGAAAUUUUCUGCACCGCAAACGUUGUUGAAUCCAUUUCUUUAACUGUUAAGAACGGAUGGUUUUCUUUUGUCAACGAUCUCUUCUAACAUAUGUGCUAAAACUGCUAAAAAUGAGCAUUUUUGCUAUAAUGCAUAUAAUGAACCUCUUAAUUUCAGACAUGAAAACUAAAUAAUUGUGUUUAUACGCAGUCGAACUGAUUCACAGAGGAGAUGAGGAGGUUGACAGAGAGAGAUGGUUGCAGCCGAAGCCGGUAUAGGCGGCUGGCCGCGCCACCGAAGCGCCGGUGAAAGGGAGUGCCGUCGCCAACAGCGGGAGAUGAGGCACGUGGAGGCACAGGGUCAGCGGCCGCUGGCUCGAGGAAUAGCAUGUAAAAACCAAAACUGAAAAAUUCAGUACACAUUCUGUCGAACAUGAAAACUAGAAAAUUCUGUUCAUCUUCAGAAAGGAAGAUGCUGUAGCAACUAGAUUUGUAGGAGAAGCAUCAUGCUAGAAUAAGUUAGACUGCACAUAUUCUUCUUUUGUGAACUUCUGCAACUAUAUGCAGGUCGUGGGGAGGUGAGCGGCGGCAGCACACGCGAGCAUGGUCGCUUCUAUACAUUAUACAUUGCUGCUAACCAAAAUCACAAAACAUGCUGAACGUGUAUGGGAUGGAAGUGGUGUGCUCAGCCUCACCUUGACUGUUGUGGACUGCUGCUCGCGAUGGCCUCGACCUCCCUGACACAGCGCGGCUGGACUGGGAUGGCGCUUGGUUUCGUUGGGUUAAUCGGGAGGAGGCGGAGGUGUGGUAUUCAGGAUGAGGAAGAAGGGCGGCGCGGGAGUUCCACCUGGAGGAAGAAGGGCGCCUGAGGCUAGGAUGGUUGGGGCGACGCCGGUUGAUUCGGGGGAAGGGGAGGGGUAGCGCGGUGGCGGAGGAAGCCAGAUCCGAGCGCGCCGGGAGGGAUGACAGAGUGUGAUUGGGACGGAUAGGCAGCAAGAGGAGGCGCGCGACCUCUGCGCCCUGCAGGGGCGGUGCUGGUCGCCGGUGGAGGUCCAGCAGCUGGAGACACGCUGGGAUCCGAGGCGGGCGACGCGAGGCGUGCUGGGGACGAGGGGCAGGCGGGGGUUGGACGGCGACGGGAGGCUCGCCGGGGCAGUGGGAGCGGCGGCGGGAGGCGCGGCAGGGCCAGGGAGGCAGCGGCGGGAGGCGCACCGGAGCCAGGGGCCGGCAGCGGAAGGCAGUCGGGCGGA